rnacentral:rRNA from 1 species
CUUUAUCGGAGAGUUUGAUCCUGGCUCAGGACGAACGCUGGCGGCGUGCCUAAUACAUGCAAGUCGAGCGGACAGAUGGGAGCUUGCUCCCUGAUGUUAGCGGCGGACGGGUGAGUAACACGUGGGUAACCUGCCUGUAAGACUGGGAUAACUCCGGGAAACCGGGGCUAAUACCGGAUGCUUGUUUGAACCGCAUGGUUCAAAYAUAAAAGGUGGCUUCGGCUACCACUUACAGAUGGACCCGCGGCGCAUUAGCUAGUUGGUGAGGUAAUGGCUCACCAAGGCAACGAUGCGUAGCCGACCUGAGAGGGUGAUCGGCCACACUGGGACUGAGACACGGCCCAGACUCCUACGGGAGGCAGCAGUAGGGAAUCUUCCGCAAUGGACGAAAGUCUGACGGAGCAACGCCGCGUGAGUGAUGAAGGUUUUCGGAUCGUAAAGCUCUGUUGUUAGGGAAGAACAAGUAC